UCGUGAAGCCUCUUUACAGCGAAGGAUCAAGGUGUGCUCACAAAAAGCCACCUACCGAUGCUGCUUACGAAAUCAGUCGGGAAAAUGCCGGUUUGCUUGUCCCAACUGUGUUUCGGGACACGCACCUCCCACAUUCGCUAUUUCGCGUCAAAACCGAACUGUGCCCGAAUCUGACCGAAUCCGGUCGAAUCGUUCACGCGGGCAAAACGGUACGGAACAACAGCAGCUUCCGUACACGGCGGGUCUCAGAGCGCGGAGUCUGCUGUUUCAAGGAGUCCCGGGAGUUCUGCCGUCGGCCACUGCGAGCGGUAAACAGAAAAUUAAUUUCCCUUUGUCGGUGGAAAGCUACCUUUUGGCUUAAAGGCCGUGUUUCGUACGUAAGUGCGCUCCGCUAGACAUAAAAGCCUACACUGUCCGCAUGAAGGCGAACCGGCAAAGAGCCUCUGAAGAGGAUCUCACUACAACGCGGCCAAAUAGUGCCCACGCACACUCAGAUUUAUACAAAAGAUAGGCGGGAAUAUACAGCACUUUCCUGAUACCACAAGACUAUAAGACCCCUAUGUCGUAAUGCCUAAAUUGUAGCACCUCACGGUAAGAUUACAUUUACAAAAAAAUCGCCAGGAUUUAUUACACGGAUUUAAGGGUAAGGGGGUGUCUCGAGAGUGCGUUGAGUUUGAAACGCGCUUGUGUGAAACAGCACGUGUGGACAGCGGUGUAACCGGUUCACUGUGACCGUAGUACUCUGCUUAAGUGGGGCUGGGGUGAACAGUCAUCCCAUUUAAGCAACCGAGAUCGUUAAAUUCACACUUCACCCUUCAGAGCCGCCGCUGUUCCCAUAAACGUAUUAAAUAGGAUUACGUCAAACAGAUCACUCACACAAGACGGGUUUUCUGUACUCCGUAUACCAAAUGAAAUUCAUUUAAGAAAUUUGCUGCGAUUAAAUACUUAUUUCGACUACACGAUUUGUACGGCUGUCAAAUGUAACCCCAGUGACACUUACCACGGCUAUUUCUCACAUCACAAAAAAGCAUGGCUGAUUGGCUGUGUUGACCAAAACUACGCACCAAGGUUUUAUGCCCAGCUUUGCACAAACUCACUGAUCUACCUACUACUGACUCAUCCCAGGAACCUUCAACCCCUAUGUCAGAUGGAGUAAGAGAGCUUCUUCGGGCUGGAGUACCUGAGAGUCACGGAGCUGCUGGGUCUGGGAAGUGGACACACCUGGGGUGGACAGCGACAGUGUGGUCACAAGAGGAGGAUAGCCAGGCAUCCAAAAAUACGAGGAACGUGCCAAAGAAGUCUGAACCCCAGAAAGGGUGCCGUCGAUAUCCCCUCAGACAUGGAUCCAACCCUUACCUAUUGCGAUGUAGAGGACCUGGUCACAACAACGCUGCCCAGAUAGCUGAGAUCAAUCAAAAACAAAGCAGAGGGACAGUUCCUUCUCCUUGGCGGGACUUGGCAGCGCUUUCUUGACAUGCAGGCCACGGCUUUCCUCUGAGGAUUCGGAGAGGGGUCCCAAGGAUCGAAUACUCUCGGGACUUAGCUUCCCAGAGGAGGACCUGUGGAAUGGGAAGAAGACAACAAACCAGUCAUCUCCAGCACGGUCCAAGCUAAGAAACAUAGAUACAGUUGGCCAUAGCAGGAACCCACAUAAACUGAUUUUAAGGGACAUUUACCUUGUUUCAAUUAUUCAAAAGAAUAUGUGGAGGAACAUUUCUAGAGGUAGAUCACUUCUUUGUCCUUUAAUACUCAUUAGCAAAUUGACACCAGAGAAACUCAAUGUAACCUUUCAGUAAUGAUGUAACAGACUGUGAGAUCUGCAGUGGAGGGCAUUUGAGCAUAUUUUACUAUGGGUACAGCUACUGAAAUUUAUGCCACUGGUAAGUGCAGCACAGUAUGACAGAGACAAGGUCAAGAGCAAAAAAAAAAAAAGCUGAUAUCACAUGACUGCAAAAUUGACGCACAGAAUCACGUGACCCUUAAUGAAUUCCGCACUGCUCUGUGGGAGUGUCACCUCUGAUGCUACUGUGCAACUGCUCUGCCUGAAAUGCUUGCCAAAGGCGUGUGACUGCUGUGCAUUAAGGACAUGAGUCACAGUCGAGUCAUGUGGGUGGGCAUUUGGGCAAUGGGGGAUAGCCAUUUGUAUCAGAUCUCACCAUGAGUCAGUGUCGCCCAUGAGCCACAACAACCCUACUUAUUGCAGAGUUCAUAAAGCCUCCUUGAAAUGUAUCCUAUAUACUGCUAUUUUAUUACUCAUAAGGAAACAUGUUCCCUCUAAACACCUUCCUGAAUAGAACAGUUGGGGAUUAUUGCACUUGUCUUACGACAGGCCCCGAGUUCCCAGGUCUUGUGACCCAUCUUAGUGGUACUGCAUCUGGUUUUCACUCGGUUUUCUGGAGAUGUCACUACUCAGCCUUCCCUGGAUCUCAUACUCUCCUGUUGCUGCUGAUUAUUCAUAUUUCAUAUUUUUCAUUUUAUAAUUUACUUUCUCUGUGACAUAUACUAGACCUGAUCAUUUAAUGACUUCACAUGUACAUUAUUGCCAGCUGUCCUACUUGCUAACAAUGUUAUCAGAACAUAGCAGUUGUAAAAACACACAGGGGGACCGAAAAAUAAAACUAUACAUGUAGUCUAAUGCAAAUUGUGAAGGACAAAUUUAUAUAGAUUUACUAAUAAUGGAACAUUGUAAGUAUCUUUGAAUAUGUCAACAUACAGACUUAGAAUGUGUUAAAUUCCAAGUUGCACAGUCCUUAUGAAGAAAGAACAACCAAUAUUUCUAUGGAUACAAGUGAGGCAACCAUGGGUUCCUCAUAAUGCCAAGAGAGUAUCUGUGCCAAGAGACAAGGACCAAGUAGUAGCUACCUUCCAGAAAACAAAUGAGCAAUCAGAUGACAUGUUAAACCAUAACAGUUUAUUGAGACCAAUAAAAUACAAUUUAUGGCUGCAA